rnacentral:rRNA from 1 species
GANNUAUNGNNUCNGAUGACGCUGGCGGCGUGCCUAACACAUGCAAGUCGAGCGAUUUACUUCGGUAAAGAGCGGCGGACGGGUGAGUAACGCGUGGGUAACCUGCCUCAUACACAUGGAUAACAUACCGAAAGGUAUGCUAAUACAGGAUAAUAUAAGAGAUUCACAUGGAUUUCUUAUCAAAGCUCCGGCGGUAUGAGAUGGACCCGCGUCUGAUUAGCUAGUUGGUAAGGUAAUGGCUUACCAAGGCGACGAUCAGUAGCCGACCUGAGAGGGUGAUCGGCCACAUUGGAACUGAGACACGGUCCAAACUCCUACGGGAGGCAGCAGUGGGGAAUAUUGGCACAAAUGGGCGAAAGCCUGAUGCCACCAACCCCCGCCGUGAGUGAUGAAGGCCUUUCCGGUCCGUAAAACUUCUGGUCCCUCAAGGGAAGAUAAUGGACCGGUACUUGGAGGAAGGAAGCCCCGGGUUAACUAACCUGGCCAGCCGGCCGCGGGAAUACCUAAGGGGGCUAGCGUUUUCCCGAUUUUUCUGGGCGUAAAGGGGGCGUAAGGGGGUUUUUUUAAUCAGGAAUGGAAGGGUACCGGCUUCACCCCUAGUAAACUUCUUGAAACUGGAAAACUUGAGUGCAGGAGAGGAAAGUGGAAUUUCUCAGUGUAGCGGUGAAAUGCGUAGAUAUUAGGAAGAAAAACCCCUAACGAAAGGGGCUUUUCUGGACUGUAACUGACACUGAGGGACGAAAGCGUGGGGAGCAAACAAGAAUAUAUACCCUGGGAGUCCACGCCGUAAACGAUGAAUUAUUAGUGUCGGGGGUUACCCCCCCUCUGUGGCGCCAGCUAACGCAUUAAAUACUUCCCCUGGGGGAGUACGCUCGCCAGAGUGAAACUCUAAAGGAGUUGACGGGACCCCCCACAAGUAGCGGAGCAUGUGGUUUUAUAUUUUAAGC